rnacentral:lncRNA from 1 species
GAAAUCCAUAGAAUUCUAGAAACCUUGGCCAAGGCCACUAGGAAAACAUUCUUUUCUGAAAACAAGAAAACAAAAAUCAAAGAUCAGAAACAAAAAGAAGAAAUACUGUUUAUAAAGUCAAUUGAUAUAUCAGAGCUCUUCAUGGUGAUAUGAUACAGAAAAAUUGCAAUUAAUCUAGUAGACAAAGCUUCAGAGUCCUCAUGAUUUAAGAAAUUAGAAGCAAUGAGGAUGGGAGUGGAAGAAAGGAAGAGGAUAAAAAGGAGAUGGCAAAAGGAUUGAGGGAGGAGAAAGCAAAAUCAUUUAAGAGGAAUACCAGCUUCUAUGAGACCUAUAUUAACUUAAAUAACAGUAUGGUUGCAUGUCAGGAUUACCAAGCCCCAAGCUAGGUUAGACUGUGAUCCUGCAUGUUUGUUAGUGAGACCAUUCUUCAGCCUCAUAACUAUUCUCAUUUGAAAGGUAACCUACACAGUUAUGCACUAUUCUAGAAACACCCACAAUUGCAGAAAUGUAUUCUCUAUGCUGGUCAGCAUUCUUUUGGAUUUCAGCAAAGAUACCAUUUGUAGAGCAAGUCUUCAACUACUCAGUUAUUUUCUCAGCAACCUCAAGAUUAGUAAUCAAGAGUGAAAUAGUGAAUCUAAUUACCCUUGCCUCCUCUUUCUGGCAAACUAUUUUAGCCACGUGGCUUAGAAGGGCUAUUCUGUGACAGAACAUGAUGACACAGUCUAUUGAAGAUUCUCUAAGGAAAUUUCAGCGUUAUUGGGAGGAAAAGGAGGCCAAAGAGAGUGUCUUACCAUCACACACAGCAGUGCAGAUUCAAGCUAGGUAGCAGCAGAAUUUUGGCAAAGUAAAAUAUACUUUGGUUUCUCAAGGUAAUAUUUGAAUCUGCCAGUUUUCUAACAUAUUGGAAUAAGUGUGCUUUGUUUUAUUUGGUAAAAUUUUGUUUUCUUUUGUUGUGUUUUAACUGAAAAUAUCUGGUUGGAGUUAUCAAAAUAUACAAAUUGACAUUUUCCAGCAAGUUCUGGGUUUAAAUAGAGUUUUUAAAGUGUCUCCCAUAAUUUCUUGAUUCCUGUCCUUUUGUUUUUCUAUAGUAAAUGUAAGGCUUCAGAAAAAUGUUUAAGUUUGAGUUUAAACUAUAUAAUGUAAAUCCAUUAUAUUUGUGGUUUCUGAUUCUUUCUAUAUUAAUUAACAAUAACUAUAAAUUAUUUAUAUUUUGCUGUAGAACAAAAGUUUAUAGGCAUACUAAUUAAUAAUAUUCAAUUAUUACUGAAAUGUCCUAAGAUGAAUGGGCAAAUUGAGUGAAAGUAUUGUUUUAAGAGUAAAAGGAAAAAAAAGGGGGGGGAAGGUGAAGUGUCAAUUUGUGUUUAGUACAUCACAACUGUUAGAUUUAAUUAUAUUUAUUUUUGGAGAUUAUAAUUCCAUCAUUCCCUUAUCACUUUCCUUCAUCCAAACCUUCCAAAAUACAUAUCUCUCCAUGCUCUCUUUCAAUUUUAUGUCCUCUUUUACAUCAAUUAUUGUAUCGAUCGAUCUAUCUAUCUAUCUAUCUAUCUAUCUAUCUAUCUAUCUAUCUAUAGAUAGAUAGACACACACACUCAUACACACACCCAAAUAGAUAAUACAACUUGCUUAGUCCAUAUAAUGUUAUUUGUGCAUAUGUUUUCGAAGGCUGAUUAUUGGGUAUUUGAUUACCAGUUGGUGUGCUCUUCCCUUGGGGAGAUUAUUUCUCAGGUUCUCAGCAUGCCUUGGUUACAUGCAAAUUUCUGUGUAGGGUUGAUGCCUCUUUGGGCUUUCCCCUAUCCACAUUGGCAUGUCUACUCUUGUUUUUGUUCUUUUUCUGCUAAUGGCUUGGCAUUCAUGUUGGUAAGACUUUGUAAGUGUAGUUGAGCACAGGGUCCACCAUGAAAGAGCUAGAGAAAGGACCCAAGUACCUGAAGGGGGUUUUACAGCUCCAUAGGCAGAACAACAAUAUGAACUAACCAGUACCUCCAGAGCUCCCUGGGACUAAACCACCAACCAAAGAAAACACAUGGUGGGACACAUGGCUCUAGGUGUAUAUGUAGCAGAGGAUGGCCUAGUCGGUCAUCAAAGGGAGGAGAGGAUCUCGGUCCUGUGAAGGUUCUAUGCUCCAGUGUAGGGGAAUGCCUGGUCCAGGAAGUGGGAGUGGGCAGGUGGUUGUUGAGCAGGUGGAGGUGGCAGGGAUAGGGGAUUUUCAGUGGGGAAACUAGGAAAAGGGAUAACAUCUGAAAUGUAAAUG